rnacentral:rRNA from 1 species
GGGCCUAGGGGCGCAGCAGUGGGGAAUAUUGGUCAAUGGGCGAGAGCCUGAACCAGCCAAGUCGCGUGAGGGAAGACGGUCCUAUGGAUUGUAAACCUCUUUUGCCGGGGAGCAAAAAGCGGUACGUGUACCGCAUCGAGAGUACCCGGAGAAAAAGCAUCGGCUAACUCCGUACCAGCAGCCGCGGUAAUACGGAGGAUGCGAGCGUUAUCCGGAUUUAUUGGGUUUAAAGGGUGCGCAGGCGGCGAGUUAAGUCAGCGGU